GACGAACGCUGGCGGCAUGCCUAACACAUGCAAGUCGAACGAGUGGCGGACGGGUGAGUAAUUUAUGGGAAACUGCCUGAUGGAGGGGGAUAACUACUGGAAACGGUAGCUAAUACCGCAUACCAUCAGAUUUGCCCAGAUGGGAUUGGCUUGUUGGUGGGGUACAGGCUCACCAAGGCGACGCUCCCUAGCUGGUUUGAGAGGAUGACCAGCCACACGGGAACUGAGACACGGUCCAGACUCCGACGGGAGGCAGACGUGGAGAAGAUUGAAAAAUGGGCGCAAUCCUGAUGCAGCCAUGCCUCGUGUAUGAAGAAGGCCUUCGGGUUGUAAAGUACUUUCAGCUGGGAGGCGUUACCCGCAGAAGAAGCACCGGCUAACUCCGUACCAGCAGCCGCGGUAAUUC
rnacentral:rRNA from 1 species